rnacentral:lncRNA from 1 species
AAGUGAAAGUUUUAGGGUAUAUGGUUUAGAAUUUAUGGUUUAGAGCUGAACUCUAGUCAAGUGAAAGUUUUAGGAUUGAUGGUUUAGGGUAUAUGGUUUAGAAUUUAGGGUUUAGAGCUUAGAAUUUAGGGUUUAUAGUUUAGAGUAUUGGGUUUUGGGUUUACGAUUUAGAGUUUAGAGUUUAGAAUUUAGAGUUUUUGGUUUUGGAAUUGGAGUUUAAAGUUUAGGGUUUAUGGUUUAGGGUUUAGUCUUUAGAUUUUUAGAGUUUAGUGUUUUGCAGACGGUGUUAACGUCCGUGUUGUUUUUCUUCUGCUAUUUUUUUUUUUAAUUUUAAUACAUUUUUAACUAAUUUUACUUGGCAAGGUGAGUUGAAUUUAACCAUUCACCUUAGAAGGUUAUAAAAAUUAGAGUAAGCUCCAACAUGUAUGAAUUUGACUUGUCAAAUAAUAUUAUAGAGAUAAAAUUGUUAAUCUUGUUAGGGUCGACGAAGUCUUAGGGCUUAUGAAGAUUUAGGGUUUAACAAUCGCGACAAUGACCUUCUGCCGUAUUAUGACGUUUUCCCGUACUCAUCUCUGGAAAAGAACUUGUAGAACGGUGACUGCCUCGUCUGGCAUGAAGAAUUCUCAUCUGGAAGAGGGACAUUUCCAGCGUCAAGGCUGCUGAUGAUCUAUCUAAGACUCAAAAGUCAAAGAUGUUCGACAAACUGCGGGAUCGUAUGGAGAAGGAAGCCUAUAGGAUAGUUGAAGAGACGUUAAAUACGUUUACAAAAGAAGAUGGAGUUUUCAUCACUCAAGUAGAUCUCUUUGGCUGGGCUAAGUGUCUCGACGAGGAUGGAAAACAUCAAAACGCCUACGAGGUCUAUGCAUGGGUGGUUCUGAGCAUAGCGAAGUGAAACAUUGGCAUAGGACUCCCAAAAUUUUUUAAAAAUUUUACACGAAAAAGGUCCCCAAAUUUGUAAUUUUUUUUUAAAAAACCCUUACUAAAUUGCUUUUGGUCCCAAACAUUUUAGGGACGCCCCUGGGUCUAUGUAGAAUUCAUCACUAGAGGUAAUUAUUUUUGUGAUGUAUUAAUUAUGGAAUGUGUGUUUUAUGUAGAUCAAUGAAUGGAUAAAGAAAAAGAAAAUGACAUUGUCU